GACGAACGCUGGCGGUGUGCUUAACACAUGCAAGUCGAACGGUAAGGCCCUUUCGGGGGUACACGAGUGGCGAACGGGUGAGUAACACGUGAGUAACCUGCCCUCAUCUCUGGGAUAACAGUCGGAAACGGUUGCUAAUACUGGAUAUGAGCCUGCAAGGCAUCUUGUGGGUUGGAAAGAUUUUUUGGUUGGGGAUGGACUCGCGGCCUAUCAGCUUGUUGGUGAGGUAGUGGCUCACCAAGGCUUCGACGGGUAGCCGGCCUGAGAGGGCGACCGGCCACAUUGGGACUGAGAUACGGCCCAAACGCCUACGGGAGGCAGCAGUGGGGAAUAUUGCACAAUGGACGGAAGGCUGAUGCAGCAACGCCGCGCGCGGGAUGACGGCCUUCGGGUUGUAAACCGCUUUCAAUUGUGACGAAGCUUUUUGUGACGGUAGCAGUAGAAGAAGCACCGGCUAACUACGUG
rnacentral:rRNA from 1 species